UUGACCUCAAAUCGGGUGAGACUACCCGCUGAACUUAAGCAUAUCAAUAAGCGGAGGAAAAGAAACUAACAAGGAUUCCCCUAGUAACUGCGAGUGAAGCGGGAAAAGCUCAAAGUUUAAAAUCUGGUGGUCUUUGGCCA
rnacentral:rRNA from 1 species